GUGGGGAAUAUUCCGCAAUGGACGAAAGUCUGACGGAGCAACGCCGCGUGAGUGAUGAAGGUUUUCGGACUGUAAAGCUCUGUUGUUUAGGACGAAAGUGCCUGUUGCAAACAGUUACAGGUAUUGACGGUACUAAACGAGGAAGCCACGGCUAACUACGUGCCAGCAGCCGCGGUAAUACGUAGGUGGCAAGCGUUGUCCGGAAUUAUUGGGCGUAAAGAGCAUGUAGGCGGGAAUCUAAGUCUGUUGUGAAAAUGCGGGGCUCAACCCCGUAUUGCGAUGGAAACUGGGUUUCUUGAGUGCAGGAGAGGAAAGGGGAAUGCCCAGUGUAGCGGUGAAAUGCGUAGAUAUUGGGAGGAACACCAGUGGCGAAGGCGCCUUUCUGGACUGUAACUGACGCUGAGGCUCGAAAGCCAGGGGAGCGAACGGGAUUAGAAACCCGUGUAGUCC
rnacentral:rRNA from 1 species